rnacentral:rRNA from 1 species
UACAGAGGGUGCGAGCGUUGUUCGGAAUUAUUGGGCGUAAAGGGCGCGUAGGCGGCGCGGUAAGUCACCUGUGAAAUCUCCUGGCUCAACUGGGAGCUUGCAGGCGAAACUGCCGUGCUGGAGUGUGGGAGAGGUGCGUGGAAUUCCUGGUGUAGCGGUGAAAUGCGUAGAUAUCAGGAGGAACACCUGUGGCGAAAGCGGCGCACUGGACCACAACUGACGCUGAGGCGCGAAAGCGUGGGGAGCAAACAGG